CUAUUUAACAGAGAAAAAAACCUUUUUCCAGAAAAACAAGAUCCACAAAGAGAAAAACAUAAAGCCCUUUGAAAUAUACCUAUAACAUGGUAUAUUUCAUGAUAUACCACUUUUAAUUCAGCUUCACACACUUUAAGAAAAUCCUUUUAAAUCUCUUAUUACUCAACUUCAGCAAUGCCAAGCAGACAAUAUUUUUGGCGAUUGAACUUCAUUAAAAAUAAUGAACAGGUGAAACCAACAAGCCUCAACUAAGGUUAUGACUUAACUGUAAGUUUACAAGUUAUUUUCCAAGAGGGAUUAAGAAGUUUUUACAAAAUCUAGGCUCUUUAAAGGUGUUUCAGAGAAAAAAAGAUUUACGAAGAAAAGCUAGAUGUUGUUCACAGAGGGGAAGAAAAUCAGCAAAUAUAAAAGUCACACAGAUGCUAACCAAAAUAUACUAAUUCCCUAAGCCAGGAUUAGACCUAGGCCACCAUUGUAAAAUGACAGAGGCCAAAAGAAAGUACUAUCACAUGGUUACAAGGUCAAGCUCCCAAGGACAUAAAACAAGAUGGAGAACUGCAGCAAGGUUUGCUACUGAUAAGUUUGCCAGGCUGGCUUGAACAGCAAACUUAUGGGGUCCUAGGUCCACAUUCUAUUCUAAGGUACUCCCCUUUAUGACAGAACAAUACAGAAAGACAUGCAAAGCACACUACAUUGGUUACAGCUUGAGACUAGCCUCAUAAAUCUUUUUUCUUUUUCUCCCAUUUAUCAGAACUUCACAGAGAAUAUAAACAGUGAUUUUAUUAUUCAUUCAACUGGUUUGCACAGGGAGAGGGAGGCCAGAAGUCUGACUGAUAUUAAUAAGGAUCUUGAGAUGAAAUCAUACUGGAUUAUCCUAGUACACCCUAAAUCUGUAAAUAAGACUAUUUGA
rnacentral:lncRNA from 13 species